rnacentral:lncRNA from 1 species
CCAAUAUAUUUUUCCAGUGGUAUUUUUAAUUUCCUUGUGUUCAUCCAUUUCGACUUCCCUUUUAUGACCUACCUAUUGUAUUAUUUGUUAAUUCGUUCUCGUCCUGAACUGACUAAAACAAUUUGAAACUGGACGUAAAACAAACAAGAACCAUUUUACUUAUCAAUGCCCCAAUUGAUGAAUGAAGAUUCUGAUGAUAAUUUGAAACGUUAUAAUUUUAGAUCUAAGGAUACAGCUGACAUACCGAGAGUUAAAACUACAAG